ACAUAAAGCAUAUCUAUGAUAAUAUGUAUUCUAUUUUUAUGCAAGCAUGCUUUAUUUUGCUGCUAAUGAACUGGACGGGUACUAGUGCUAGUGGAGUAGACCAAAUAGAAUUUGGUCUAGUUUCUGAUGAAGAUCAAUGUUUUAUUUAUUUAUUUAUUCUUGUGUUUUGCAGGAUUAUAUUAUUAUUAUUAUUUUUUUAUUUUUUUUAUAAAUGUGCAGGAUUAUAUUAUGAUGGUAACAAUGGGGUUUGGUAUUCUUAUGAUCACCAAACUCAGCAGUAUGUCCCCUACUCUGAUCAGAGUGACAAUAAAACAGCUGGAAAACAAAAUACUUACACGGAAACCGAAUUUGAUGAAGUGCGAGUUGAAUGGAUUAAUUUCGUACUAAAGAAUAUGAGUUGAAAUCCAAUGAGCAAUCAAAGGGUAACAUCGCGAACAGAGAAAGGAUGUAUACAAAACACAGGUGUGGUUCUAGGUCAAUCGCUGUUAGAGUAGAAAAACUGAUUGGAUUGGGGUGGCAUUUUUGACGUGCAACAAUGAUCUAAUUUGCUUGAAUGUUCAAUUUUGUUUGAUAAGGAUACACAUACUUUGUGGAGUUGCACUAGUUAUUGUUAGAUUUUUGGUAAAAUUGAACAAGUUAUAACUUUUGGAUAUUUUGUGGAUAUUUCACUAUUUUAUUGUAUUAGGAUGAAAUUAUUUGUGAUGAUGAAUGGAUAUUUUCAUUUUGUUAAUU